AAAGUGCGAUAACUAGUGUGAAUUGCAGAAUUCUGUGAAUCAUCGAACUCUUGAACGCAUCCUGCGCCUUGAGGCUAUCCUCGAGGCACACUUGUUUGAGUGGCGACAAAAUUCUCUAUCCUAAAAAAGGAAUCUUUUUUCCUUUAAGAGGGGAUGAUGGCAGUGUAGAGUGGUACCUUCAAUGGUAUACUCAACUCUGUUUAAAAGUAUAGGUUGAACUUGCAAUUUCAUUAUUAAGUUCAUUAGGUUUGAGGAAUUUCAUUAUUCCACUUUACCCUUCUGAAUCUCUUAUAUUUUGAAAUUGCAUUUCCUCAAUUCAAAGGAACAAAAUCACUCCUAUUUUCGCCCUCAAAUCAAGUGGGAUUACCCCCUGAAUUUAA
rnacentral:misc_RNA from 1 species